rnacentral:rRNA from 1 species
UACGGGGGGGGCAAGCGUUGUCCGGAAUUAUUGGGCGUAAGGAGCUCGUAGGCGGUCUGUUGCGUCCGCUGUGAAAACUCGGGGCUUAACCCCGAGCCUGCAGUGGAUACGGGCAGACUAGAGGUAGGUAGGGGAGAAUGGAAUUCCCGGUGUAGCGGUGAAAUGCGCAGAUAUCGGGAGGAACACCGGUGGCGAAGGCGGUUCUCUGGGCCUUACCUGACGCUGAGGAGCGAAAGCGUGGGGAGCGAACAGG